AGCAGCCGCGGUAAUUCCAGCUCCAAUAGCGUAUAUUAAAGUUGUUGCAGUUAAAAAGCUCGUAGUUGAAUUUCGGGAUCAAUGUUUCGGUCAUGCCGUUGGUAUGUACUGAUAUUAUUGAUUUCUCACCUUCUAAAGAACCGUAAUGCCAUUAAUUUGGUGUCACGGGGAAUUAGGACUGUUACCUUGAAAAAAUUAGAGUGUUUAAAGCAGGCUCACGCUUGAAUACAUUAGCAUGGAAUAAUGAAAUAGGACAUCCGAUUCUAUUUUGUUGGUUUCUAGGAUCGAUGUAAUGAUUAAUAGGGAUAGUUGGGGGCAUUUAGUAUUCAAUUGUCAGAGGUGAAAUUCUUGGAUUUAUUGAAGACUAACUACUGCGAAAGCAUUUGCCAAGGAUAGUUUUCAUUAAUCAAGAACGAAAGUUAGGGGAUCGAAGACGAUCAGAUACCGUCGUAGUCUUAACCAUAAACUAUGCCGACUAGGGAUCGGAUGAUGUUAAUUUUUAAUGACUCAUUCGGC
rnacentral:rRNA from 1 species